UACGUAGGUGGCAAGCGUUGUCCGGAUUUACUGGGCGUAAAGAGCGCGCAGGCGGUCGUAUAAGUCGAAUGUGAAAGCCCCCGGCUCAACUGGGGAGGGUCAUUCGAUACUGUUCGACUCGAAGGCAGGAGAGGGAAGUGGAAUUCCGGGUGUAGUGGUGAAAUGCGUAGAUAUCGGGAGGAACACCAGUGGCGAAGGCGACUUCCUGGCCUGUUCUUGACGCUGAGGCGCGAAAGCUAGGGUAGCAAACGGG
rnacentral:rRNA from 1 species